rnacentral:rRNA from 1 species
UGGGGAAUAUCGGACAAUGGGGGGAACCCUGAUCCAGCGAUGCCGCGUGGGUGAAGAAGGCCUUCGGGUUGUAAAGCCCUUUAGGUUGGGAAGAAAGGUACUAUGUUAAGAGCUAAGUACUGUGACGGUACCGACAGAAUAAGCACCGGCAAACUCUGUGCCAGCAGCCGCGGUAAUACAGAGGGUGCGAGCGUUAAUCGGAAUUACUGGGCGUAAAGGGCGCGUAGGCGGUAAUACAUGUGUGAUGUGAAAGCCCCGGGCUUAACCUGGGAAGUGCAUCGCAAACUAUAUUUCUGGAGUAUAUGAGAGGGUGGCGGAAUUUCCGGUGUAGCGGUGAAAUGCGUAGAGAUCGGAAGGAACGUCGAUGGCGAAGGCAGCCACCUGGCAUAAUACUGACGCUGAGGCGCGAAAGCGUGGGGAGCGAACAG